ACUUCAGGACGGGGACAACAGUUGGAAACGACUGCUAAUACCCGAUGUGCCGAAAGGUGAAACCUAAUUGGCCUGAAGAAGAGCUUGCGUCUGAUUAGCUAGUUGGUGGGGUAAAGGCCUACCAAGGCGACGAUCAGUAGCUGGUCUGAGAGGAUGAGCAGCCACACUGGGACUGAGACACGGCCCAGACUCCUACGGGAGGCAGCAGUGGGGAAUUUUCCGCAAUGGGCGAAACCUGACGGGAGCAAACGCCGGCGUGGAGGGAGGAAGGUCUUUGGAUUGUAAACCUCUUUUCUCAAGGAAGAAGUUCUGACGGUACUUGAGGAAUCAGCCUCGGCUAACUCCGUGCCAGCAGCCGCGGUAAUACGGGGGAGGCAAGCGUUAUCCGGAAUUAUUGGGCGUAAAGCGUCCGCAGGUGGUCAGCCAAGUCUGCCGUCAAAUCAGGUUGCUUAACGACCUA
rnacentral:rRNA from 1 species